rnacentral:misc_RNA from 1 species
GAAUUCAGGCUUUGGUAACGGGCACAGGCGUGUUUCAUUUCAUUCAGUGCUAUCAUUUAGUGCAAUAGCCUCAACUACAUCAUCACUUUGUUGACCUUUAGGUUGUCUUUCACAUUUUGUUUUUUUAUUUUUUUUUGGUAUUGCGCAUUCAGAGGUGCAAGAAUACCAGCUCUAAAGUCUUGUGAUAAUCAAGUUAUGAUUUACUAUAAGGAUGUACUCGGCACUAGAUAAUCAUUGUAAAGGACCCGUGUGCUUCAGUAUCCGUAAUCCUUGCACUGUAUAAUGUAUGUCCUAACACUUGGUUGGUUUGUUAGUGUAGGUUGCCAGAUCGACUGUGUUUUAUCACACAGAACCACUCAUUUCUGUUUGAUGUGAGUUGUACGACCCAUGACCAAUGUCAUAGUAGAAAUAAAUUGUAACAUUUAACCUCAAAUAUUAACCCAAAUUGUGAGAUGCUUAUAGUGUUAUGUAUAUAGAGGCUUCCCUGCAAAACUCUAAGUUUAUGAUCCUCAUCAAUUUAAUAUAUGAUUCUAUUUUGAAUGAAUUGACUAUUUUUUAUGUACAUAUUGUUCAAAUUCCCUAUUUAAGAUAAAUGUGACUUAAACCAUAAAAUGGUAUGUGAUCAAUGAAUCAGAUUUCUGUUGCUGGUGUAGGAUUCGUAGUAGUGUGGAACUGUAUACAGCUCUACACUUUGUCUGUCUCUGAGUUUGUCUCGUUUAACCUCAGUUACUUAGAACUUCCACUGUCCUGACAUUAUGUAGACCCCCUCGGCGAAUCGUUGGUGCUAGGAUUCCUGAUAUAUUGUCAGAAGAUUUGUGUUUUAUCAGAGAACAGUUAUUUUAUCCCAGAACUUUUUCCUAUCAAUUUUAAUGUAACAUCAUAUCAGAGAUGGCAGAAAUGGUGUGACUCUGGGACCAGAUAUUUCGUUUUGUCACAAAUCAAAACCACAUACAGCAGAGUGACGGCGUCAAGCCGCUGCCAUAUAUAAUUAUAUAGAUAGCAAUGUUUUCUGUGGUGUGAGAGGGCAACAGAUCCAUGUGUACAUAGCUGGAAUGUGAUUGUUUUACAAUGCAUCAAAGUAUUCAUAAUUAUUCACAGGCAAUUAUCACUUAAUACGUUGACAUACAACUUCACAUCCAUAAAGACUAUACAUAUUAAUAUAGAUAUAUAUAUUUGCAUAUUUUAUCCAUAGUUCACAGAUUUCAGCCUAGUCAUGUUUGUUUAUUAUUUGUGUGAUUUUGGUCAGUACUAAGAGCAGACAAUAGUCCAUUAGAAUGGGAGACAUUUUACACAAGUUUGGUUUUUCUUAGAUGUCGGCUUGUUAGGUGGAACAGAGGAGGAGCUAACGCCAUGAGGAAUUGAUACUGAUCGUGUUGAAACUGAAUGUAUUUUUGCAGGGUAUUGUCAUGAGAUGAUAUCUAAACAGCAAUAUGUACCCAAUCUGUCAAUAAAUCUAUAGCCAGCUG